AGCAGCCGCGGUAAUUCCAGCUCCAAUAGCGUAUAUUAAAGUUGUUGCAGUUAAAAAGCUCGUAGUUGAAUUUCGGGAUCAAUAUAUUGGUCAUGCUUAGGUAUGUACUGGUAUUAUUGAUUUCUCCCUUCUGAAGAACCAUAAUGUCAUUAAUUUGAUGUCAUGGGGAAUCAGAACUGUUACUUUGAAAAAAUUAGAGUGUUUAAAGCAGGCUUUCGCUUGAAUACAUUAGCAUGGAAUAAUGAAAUAGGACGUUUGAUUCUAUUUUGUUGGUUUCUAGGAUCGACGUAAUGAUUAAUAGGGAUAGUUGGGGGCAUUAGUAUUCAAUUGUCAGAGGUGAAAUUCUUGGAUUUAUUGAAGACUAACUACUGCGAAAGCAUUUGCCAAGGAUGUUUUCAUUAAUCAAGAACGAAAGUUAGGGGAUCGAAGACGAUCAGAUACCGUCGUAGUCUUAACCAUAAACUAUGCCGACUAGGGAUCGGAUGAUGUUAAUUUUUAUGUA
rnacentral:rRNA from 1 species